rnacentral:rRNA from 1 species
UAACACAUGCAAGUCGUGCGAGAAAGUUCUUCGGAUAUGAGUAGAGCGGCGGACGGGUGAGUAACGCGUAGGAAUCUACCUAGUAGAAGGGGAUAGCCCGGGGAAACCCGGAUUAAUACCGUAUACCUCCUUCGGGAGAAAGAAGGCCUCUCUUUGAAGCUUUCGCUACUAGAUGAGCCUGCGUAAGAUUAGCUUGUUGGUGAGGUAAAGGCUCACCAAGGCGACGAUCUUUAGCUGGUCUGAGAGGACGAUCAGCCACAUUGGGACUGAGACACGGCCCAGACUCCUACGGGAGGCAGCAGUGGGGAAUAUUGGACAAUGGGCGCAAGCCUGAUCCAGCCAUACCGCGUGUGUGAAGAAGGCCUUCGGGUUGUAAAGCACUUUAAGCAGGGAGAAAAAGUUAUAAGUUAAUACCUUAUAGCCUUGAUGUUACCUGCAGAAUAAGCACCGGCUAAUUCCGUGCCAGCAGCCGCGGUAAUACGGAAGGUGCAAGCGUUAAUCGGAAUUACUGGGCGUAAAGCGCGCGUAGGUGGUUUGUUAAGUUGGAUGUGAAAGCCCUGGGCU